rnacentral:rRNA from 1 species
GCACCGGCUAACUCCGUGCCAGCAGCCGCGGUAAUACGGAGGGUGCGAGCGUUAAUCGGAAUUACUGGGCGUAAAAGCGCAUGCAGGCGGCCUGUUAAGUCAGAUGUGAAAAGCCCGGGCUUAAACCUCGGAAAUUGCAUUUGAAAACUGGCAGGCUAGAGUCUUGUAGAGGGGGUAGAAUUUCAGGUGUAGCGGUGAAAAUGCGUAGAGAUCUGAAGGAAUACCAGUGGCGAAGGCGGCCCCCUGGACAAAGACUGACGCUCAGAUGCGAAAGCGUGGGGAGCAAACAGGAUUAGAUACCCCUGGUAG